AAUCAAGCUGCUGCUCUACAUCACAGACAUCCAGCAGAGGCCUUAUUUAUUUACAUAAUAUUUCAAUAUCUGGCUAGUUUGCUGCAUUGUUCUACAAUGCCAAGGAAUAGCUUAUUCCUCACCUUUGGAAACUAACCGUGUGCUAUUUUUGUUAUAGAUCUAGGAGCUAAAUCAACAUUGUGGAUGGGCAACCUCUAUAUAGGUGUAAUAUGUGAAUGGGCGUGUGGCAAUGUAAGGUCUUGGAGCGUCUGUGAAAGGCACUGUCCAGUCGGUCAUUGCAGACAACCUAGGAGCCCACGGGAUAGCAGGGUUCAUUGAAUGCUUUUCUGGUGUCUACUUCUGCAGAUUUUGUACAGGUACAAGAGCAGACAUUCAGACUAAAACGGUUCAGUCAGGUUAUUUUGAAAAUCGUACAAAAGACUUGCAUCACAAGCACAUUACAUUUGCAAGAGAGAAUGCCACCAUCUGUUGUGGGGUAAAGAGAGAGUGUGUUUUUACAAAAAGAUUAUCUUACUUUCACGUUACUCGGGGCUACCCUCCUGACAUUGCA